rfam:Salmo salar isolate Sally breed double haploid chromosome ssa01, whole genome shotgun sequence.
CCCUGUGGCUCAGUUGGUAGAGCAUGGAGUGUGCAACGCCAGGGUUGUGGGUUCGAUUCCCACAGGGG